AGUGAACGCUGGCGGUAGGCCUAACACAUGCAAGUCGAACGGCAGCACAGUAAGAGCUUGCUCUUACGGGUGGCGAGUGGCGGACGGGUGAGGAAUACAGCGGAAUCUACUUUUUCGUGGGGGAUAACGUAGGGAGACUUACGCUAAUACCGCAUACGACCUACGGGUGAAAGCAGGGGAUCUUCGGACCUUGCGCGAUUGAAUGAGCCGAUGUCGGAUUAGCUAGUUGGCGGGGUAAAGGCCCAACAAGGCGACGAUCCGUAGCUGGUCUGAGAGGAUGAUCAGCCACACUGGAACUGAGACACGGUCCAGACUCCUACGGGAGGCAGCAGUGGGGAAUAUUGGACAAAGGGCGCAAGCCUGAUCCAGCCAUACCGCGUGGGUGAAGAAGGCCUUCGGGUUGUAAAGCCCUUUUGUUGGGAAAGAAAAGCAGCAGGUUAAUACCCCGCUGUUCUGACGGUACCCAAAGAAUAAGCACCGGCUAACUUCGUG
rnacentral:rRNA from 1 species